rnacentral:rRNA from 1 species
UACAGAGGUCUCAAGCGUUGUUCGGAUUCAUUGGGCGUAAAGGGUGCGUAGGCGGCGCGGUAAGUCGGGUGUGAAAUCUCGGAGCUUAACUCCGAAACUGCAUUCGAUACUGCCGUGCUUGAGGACCGGAGAGGAUAGUGGAAUUCCCAGUGUAGUGGUGAAAUACGUAGAGAUUGGGAAGAACACCAGUGGCGAAGGCGGCUAUCUGGACGGUUUCUGACACUAAGACUCGAAAGCGUGGGGAGCAAACAGG